UUUUGUUUUUAAACGUCCAAGCCCAUGAUGUCACUUGGAAGCUGGGUCCUGACACAGCUCCUCACUUCUGUGUUGUGUCUUGGAUGAAAGAAUUCAUAGAAGACAUAUAGGUGGCCAUGUUGAAGUUUGGCAGAAUUUACUGUAAAGAAGAUAGAGAAUUACAGCUUCAAAUGAGAAAUGUCAGAUUGUCAGUGGUCCCCCAGGGGCUUGAUCAUGUAAGAAACUUAGAGCUUUAUGAAAGAAAAAGUUCUAAUCAAAAUGUCUCAGGGCAAGGUGGGAGUGUCUUUAAAGAAGGGUCCCCUUUCUGAUGUCAUUGGGCAGUAGUCGAUAGCAACCAGAAAUGCUGUAUUACUUGUUUUGGAAAUAGCCUGGUAUCAGGAUGAAUGUGCAUCAUGCAUAACCUUAAAAUGUCAUAGUGCUAUGUGGGGUCGUUUUGGGUCUGAGACCUAACAACUGAUUAUAAAUGUAUUAUACACUGUUAUCUUUGUUUCAUUUAACCAUAACUGGCAAAGCAUACUGCUGUACUGUAAUUUGGACCUUCUGUGUCCCUCAAGCUCACUAAUGUCUACCUACGUGCAUAACAAUCACUCCCUCAAACCUUUAAAGAUACUACAAAUCCAUAGAUUAACCUAGUUUGAUAAUAAGGUAAAGGGUUGGUUGGCAUGAGUUCUUUUCAAGUGAGCGUACUCGUUUCUCCCGGAAAACAUGGCUAAAAGUUUAUGGUGUAAGUGGAAAAGAAAAAUGUGUGCUGAAAAGAGAAAAAAAAAUGCCCCAAAGGAGCUCAACAGACUUAAAAAUAAUCUCAAAGUAGACUGCGAUGUUUUAAUGAAUGACGUUCGGGAGAUAGCAACUGUGGUGGUACCUAAACAAUGCCAAGAGGAAAUGGACUGUGUGGCGAAUGAUGACCAAAAAGAUGACAUGAAAAUGGAGACUGAGAUAAAGAGAAACAAAAAGACUCUUCUAGACCAGAAUGGACAGUACCCAGUAUGGAUGAACCAGAGGCAGAGAAAAAGGCUGAAGGCAAAACGAGACAGAAGACAGGGGAAAAGCAAAGCAAAAGCAGCAAAGGCAGCAAAGGGUUUGGCCUGGUAGACCCUGAAAAACAGAAAUGUCACGUUAGUAGAAAUGCCAUAUGGGAGAAAUGUUUAAUUAGAAAGUACACAUUGAUUUCAGAUCCCACUAAUUGAAAACUCUUUCUGUUCAUAUUUUAACUUGGCCUUUUUUCACUUUAAACUCAAAAUAAUUUGUUUUGGGAAAUUGAAUAAAGUAUUUUCUUUGGAUAAGAGCUGUAUUUAUGUUUUAGUUGGAAAUUGACCAGUAUUCAGGUCUUAUCAGACAUCAAAAUCCUGUGAAAUAUUAACAUGGUUGUAAUUGUUUUUACAACUUGGUAAUUAUAGUCAGUAAAAUAAAUGAUAUACUGACAAAAAUUUGAGUGAACUCAUUU